rnacentral:rRNA from 1 species
UACAGAGGUCUCAAGCGUUGUUCGGAUUCAUUGGGCGUAAAGGGUGCGUAGGUGGCGCCGUAAGUCAGGUGUGAAAUCUCGGGGCUUAACUCCGAAACUGCAUUUGAUACUGCGGUGCUUGAGGACUGGAGAGGAGACUGGAAUUUACGGUGUAGCGGUGAAAUGCGUAGAUAUCGUAAGGAAGACCAGUGGCGAAGGCGGGUCUCUGGACCGAUACUGACGCUGAGGAGCGAAAGCGUGGGGAGCGAACAGG